rnacentral:rRNA from 1 species
AACAUGUCCUCGCGGGAUAAAUGUGAGGUCUGGCCUGCCCACUGAUGAGAGUUUAAGGGCCGCGGUAUACUGACCGUGCGAAGGUAGCAUAGUCAAUAGUCUUUUAAUUGGAGGCUUGGAUGAACGGUCGGACAUGAAGGAGACUGUCUUGGCAUAGGAAGGUGAAUUUGACUUUUGUGUGAAAAGGCAUUAAUAAUUUAGGGGGACGAUAAGACCCUAUAAAACUUGAUGGGUAGCCCGGGGGGUUCUCGAUUUGCUGGGUAAGGAGGAUCUGUUGGGUUUCAUUGUGCUGGGGCAGCAGGAAUAUAAAUAAUAACUGUUCUUGAAACGGAAUAAUCAUAGUUAGAUAUUGACCCUUAAUUUUGGGUUGAAAGAGUAAGUUACUUUAGGGAUAACAGCGUUAUUUCUCUUGAGAGUUCCUAUCGACAGAGAUAUUUGCGACCUCGAUGUUGAAUUAAAGCUUUUUCCGGGAGUAGGUGUUCGUGAAAUAGGUCUGUUCG